CUCAAUCUCGGGUGGCUGAACGCCACUUGUCCCUCUAAGAAGUUGGACGCCGACCGCUCGGGGGUCGCAUAACUAGUUAGUAUGCCAGAGUCUCACU